GCCCGGGUAGCCCAACGGAAGAGGCGUCCGAUUCAGGGUCGGAAGGUUGAGGGUUCGAAUCCCCCUCCGGGUA
rnacentral:tRNA from 1 species